GAGGGUAUAGCUCAGUGGUAGAGUGUGUGCUUAGUAUGCACAAGGUCCUGGGUUCAAUCCCCAGUACCUUCA
rnacentral:tRNA from 1 species